rnacentral:misc_RNA from 1 species
UACGUAGGGCGCAAGCGUUAUCCGGAAUUAUUGGGCGUAAAGGGCUCGUAGGCGGUUUGUCGCGUCGGGAGUGAAAUCCAGGUGCUUAACACCUGGCUUGCUUUCGAUACGGGCAGACUAGAGGUAUGCAGGGGAGAACGGAAUUCCUGGUGUAGCGGUGAAAUGCGCAGAUAUCAGGAGGAACACCGGUGGCGAAGGCGGUUCUCUGGGCAUGACCUGACGCUGAGGAGCGAAAGUGUGGGGAGCAAACAGG